UUGCUAUCUGCUGACGAGCGGCGGACGGGUGAGUAAUGCUUGGGAAUAUGCCUUUUGGUGGGGGACAACAGUUGGAAACGACUGCUAAUACCGCAUAACGUCUACGGACCAAAGUGGGGGACCUUCGGGCCUCACGCCAAGAGAUUAGCCCAAGUGGGAUUAGCUAGUUGGUGAGGUAAUGGCUUACCAAGGCAACGAUCCCUAGCUGGUUUGAGAGGAUGAUCAGCCACACUGGAACUGAGACACGGUCCAGACUCCUACGGGAGGCAGCAGUGGGGAAUAUUGCACAAUGGGCGCAAGCCUGAUGCAGCCAUGCCGCGUGUGUGAAGAAGGCCUUCGGGUUGUAAAGCACUUUCAGUCAGGAGGAAAGGUUAGUAGUUAAUAGCUACUAGCUGUGACGUUACUGACAGAAGAAGCACCGGCUAACUCCGUGCCAGCAGCCGCGGUAAUACGGAGGGUGCGAGCGUUAAUCGGAAUUACUGGGCGUAAAGCGUACGCAGGCGGUUUGUUAAGCGAGAUGUGAAAGCCCCGGGCUCAACCUGGGAACUGCAUUUCGAACUGGCAGACUAGAGUGUGAUAGAGGGUGGUAGAAUUUCAGGUGUAGCGGUGAAAUGCGUAGAGAUCUGAAGGAAUACCGAUGGCGAAGGCAGCCACCUGGGUCAACACUGACGCUCAUGUACGAAAGCGUGGGGAGCAAACGGGAUUAGAUACCCCGGUAGUCCACGCCGUAAACGAUGUCUACUAGAAGCUGGGGUCUUCGGACAACUUUUUCAAAGCUAACGCAUUAAGUAGACCGCCUGGGGAGUACGGCCGCAAGGUUAAAACUCAAAUGAAUUGACGGGGGCCCGCACAAGCGGUGGAGCAUGUGGUUUAAUUCGAUGCAACGCGAAGAACCCUUACCUACAC
rnacentral:rRNA from 1 species